rnacentral:rRNA from 1 species
GAUCAUGGCUCAGAACGAACGCUGGCGGCGCGUCUUAAGCAUGCAAGUCGAACGGCAUGAGGAAGCUUGCUUCCUCAGAGAGUGGCGGACUGGUGAGUAACACGUGGGUGACCUACCCUUGAGAUGGGGAUAGCCGUUAGAAAUAGCGGAUAAUACCGAAUACGCUCUACGGACUCUGGUUUGUAGAGGAAACAGGCUACGGCCUGGCUCGAGGAUGGGCCCGCGUCCCAUUAGCUAGUUGGUGAGGUAAGAGCCCACCAAGGCGACGAUGGGUAUCCGGCCUGAGAGGGUGUACGGACACAUUGGGACUGAGAUACGGCCCAAACUCCUACGGGAGGCAGCAGCUAAGAAUAUUCCGCAAUGGACGAAAGUCUGACGGAGCGACGCCGCGUGGAUGACGAAAGGCCGAAAGGUUGUAAAAUCCUUUUGCUGAUGAAGAAUAAGCGUGGUAGGGAAUGACCGCGUGAUGACAUUAGUCGGUGAAUAAGCCCCGGCUAACUACGUGCCAGCAGCGGC